rnacentral:rRNA from 1 species
GACGAACGCUGGCGGCGUGCUUAACACACGCAAGUCGAACGGAAAGGCCCUGCUUUUGUGGGGUGCUCGAGUGGCGAACGGGUGAGUAACACGUGAGUAACCUGCCCUUGACUUUGGGAUAACUUCAGGAAACUGGGGCUAAUACCGGAUAGGAGCUCCUGCUGCAUGGUGGGGGUUGGAAAGUUUCGGCGGUUGGGGAUGGACUCGCGGCUUAUCAGCUUGUUGGUGGGGUAGUGGCUUACCAAGGCUUUGACGGGUAGCCGGCCUGAGAGGGUGACCGGCCACAUUGGGACUGAGAUACGGCCCAGACUCCUACGGGAGGCAGCAGUGGGGAAUAUUGCACAAUGGGCGGAAGCCUGAUGCAGCAACGCCGCGUGCGGGAUGACGGCCUUCGGGUUGUAAACCGCCUUCGCCUGUGACGAAGCGUGAGUGACGGUAAUGGGUAAAGAAGCACCGGCUAACUACGUG